AAGGAGCGGGCCAGCACGAGCUCUGCUUUUACUCUCAGCUUGAGCAUUCUUUGGUUUGAGAAGGAACUUUCUAAAUUUAACUGUUAUCACUUCUAUGUCAGCGUGUUCUGGGUAGGGAUAAAUUGCAAGAGAAUUUUGUCUUUCCCAGAGAAAUAAGACUUUGUUUUUUCAGGGUAGCAUUUAAGAGCCCACAGCUGGGGAGGGAAGCCACCGAGUCUUAGAGAUUACUCAUUGCCUAGAAUUAGUCUACAGUUGAUUGCCUGUCACAGUCUCAGAUACCUGUGACAUUAGGAAUAUCUUGGUGAGGAGGACCAAAAAAAUUAACUGGAAAAAACCAACCAGAAAUAAAACGUGGGGCUGCUGACAUGGUUGAGCAGGUAAAGACACAUGGUGCCAAGUCUGAUGACCAGAGGUCAAAACCUAGGAGGACCUACAGAAUAAAACUAGCACAGUGGCUCUUGCAACCUGUCUGCUGGCCUCUACACACAUGCUGUGACGUGCGAGUCUAUACAGAAUUUUGAUCACUCUGGGCAUAAAAGGCAAAACUUAACCCCCAGAGGAAAUCUGUGAGAGGCAGUUUUCCACUCUGACAGUGUCUCGUCUCAUGUAUCGCCGCUGACCUUAAACUUUCGAAGAAGUUGAGGAUGACCUUCUGAUCUUCCUCCAUCCAUCUCCUAGCUCUCCAGAACCAUGGACACAGGUCCUCUGAGCACUCUAGCUGACAACUGGUCUUGUGCUGAAGGAUUGUUGGUUCUUGUGACUUCCCUACAGUAUUUUAUGGGCCACCUCUCCACAGCAGGACUCAGAGAUCUGCAGUAUAGUUUUGAACGGUACGUGGUAUUUCUUUUGUUCAUUCAUGUAUGUGUGCUGCUGACUGCUGACUCUGGCUGUUUAGGAAUUUUAGCUUGUUUGAUUUGCUAUUCCAAC
rnacentral:sRNA from 1 species